CAGCCGCCACGGGAAUACGAAGGGUGCAAGCGUCAAUCGGAAUUACUGGGCGUAAAGCGUGCGUAGGCGGUGAGUUAAGUCCGCUGUGAAAUCCCCGGGCUCAACCUGGGAAUGGCAGUGGAUACUGGCUCGCUAGAGUGUGUCAGAGGAUGGUGGAAUUCCCGGUGUAGCGGUGAAAUGCGUAGAGAUCGGGAGGAACAUCAGUGGCGAAGGCGGCCAUCUGGGACAACACUGACGCUGAGGCACGAAAGCGUGGGGAGCAAACAGGAUUAGAUACCCGCGUAGUCCCUGUCUCUUAUAC
rnacentral:rRNA from 1 species